GGUUGUAGCUCAGUGGUAGAGCUCUUGCCUUGCAUGCAUGAGGCCCUGGGUUCUAUCCCUAGCACCA
rnacentral:tRNA from 1 species